rnacentral:rRNA from 1 species
CCUACGGGAGGCAGCAGUGAGGAAUAUUGGUCAAUGGACUCAAGUCUGAACCAGCCAUGCCGCGUGCAGGAAGACGGCUCUAUGAGUUGUACACUGCUUUUGUACGAGGGUAAACGCAGAUACUCGUAUCUUUCAGAAAGUAUCUUACGAAUAAGGCACGGCUAACUCCGUGCCAGCAGCCGCGGUAAUAAGGAGGAUUAAAGCGUUACCCGGAUGUAUUGGGUUUAAAGGGUGCGUAGGCGGUCGGAUAAGUGAGAGGUGAAAUCCCGGGGCUCAACUUCGGAAUUGCCUCUGAUAAUGUUCGGCUAGAGAGUAUUUGCGGUAGGCGGAAUGUAUGGUGUAGCGGUGAAAUGCUUAGAGAUGA